GACGAACGCUGGCGGCGUGCUUAACACAUGCAAGUCGAGCGGUAAGGCCCUUUCGGGGUACGACGAGCGGCGAACGGGUGAGUAACACGUGGGUGACCUGCCCUCAGCUCUGGGAUAAGCCUGGGAAACCGGGUCUAAUACCGGAUAUGACUCCAUGACGCAUGUUGGUGGGGUGGAAAGCCUUGUGCGGCUGAGGAUGGGCCCGCGGCCUAUCAGCUUGUUGGUGGGGUGAGGCCUACCAAGGCGACGACGGGUAGCCGGCCUGAGAGGGCGACCGGCCACACUGGGACUGAGACACGGCCCAGACUCCUACGGGAGGCAGCA
rnacentral:rRNA from 1 species